rnacentral:rRNA from 1 species
AUUGAACGCUGGCGGCAUGCUUUACACAUGCAAGUCGAACGGUAACAGGGAGCUUGCUCCGCUGACGAGUGGCGAACGGGUGAGUAAUGCGUCGGAACGUGCCGAGUAGUGGGGGAUAACGCAUCGAAAGGUGUGCUAAUACCGCAUACGUACUGAGGUAGAAAGUGGGGGACCUUCGGGCCUCACGCUAUUCGAGCGGCCGACGUCGGAUUAGCUAGUUGGUGAGGUAAAGGCUCACCAAGGCGACGAGCAUUAGCGGGUCUGAGAGGAUGGACCGCCAGACGGGGACUGGGCCACGGCCCAGACUCCUACGGGAGGCAGCAGUGGGGAAUUUUGGACAAUGGGCGCAAGCCUGAUCCAGCCAUGCCGCGUGUCUGAAGAAGGCCUUCGGGUUGUAAAGGACUUUUGUCCGGGAGCAAAUGCUGGUGGCUAACAUCCACCGGAGCUGAGAGUACCGGAAGAAUAAGCACCGGCUAACUACGUGCCAGCCGCCGCGGUAACAC